rnacentral:rRNA from 1 species
AGGACGAACGCUGGCGGCGUGCUUAACACAUGCAAGUCGAGCGGAAAGGCCUUUCGGGGUACUCGAGCGGCGAACGGGUGAGUAACACGUGAGUAAUCUGCCCAUCGCUUCAGGAUAGCCAUCGGAAACGGUGAUUAAUACUGGAUAUGACAUUCCUUCGCAUGUUGGGGUGUGGAAAGUUUUUUCGGCGGUGGACGUGCUCGCGGCCUAUCAGCUUGUUGGUGGGGUAAUGGCCUACCAAGGCUUUGACGGGUAGCCGGCCUGAGAGGGUGACCGGCCACACUGGGACUGAGACACGGCCCAGACUCCUACGGGAGGCAGCAGUGGGAAUAUUGGACAAUGGGCGGAAGCCUGAUCCAGCAACGCCGCGUGAGGAUGACGGCCUUCGGGUUGUAACCUCUUUCAGCACAGACGAAGUUUGUCUUUUUGGUGUAAGUGAGGUAUGUGCAGAAGAAGACCGGCAACUACGUGCCAGCAGCCGC